rnacentral:tRNA from 1 species
AUUAGUGUAGCAAAACCCGGUAUUGCAAAAGAUCUAAACUCUUUUGACAGAAGUUCAAAUCUUCUCACUAAUU